rnacentral:lncRNA from 1 species
CAAACUAUAUUGGACAACUUUUCAUUACCCUGGUAACUUAAAAUCAGCAAGUGUCAGAGGAUGUGAUGUUAAAACACUUUAUACAACGGGGCAUACAGAUCAAUUCUGUCCUAUUGGUGUUUAUGGUGGUGCAAUAUUCUAUACCAGUAAUAAAAACCUAUUAAUGUUGAAUAAAACUGAAAGACAUUCACCAACUAGCGUG